rnacentral:rRNA from 1 species
GCACAAGCGGUGGAGCAUGUGGUUUAAUUCGAAGCAACGCGCAGAACCUUACCAACCCUUGACAUCCCGAUCGCGGACAUCAGAGAUGAAGUCCUUCAGUUCGGCUGGAUCGGAGACAGGUGCUGCAUGGCCGUCGUCAGCUCGUGCCGUGAGGUGUCGGGUUAAGUCCCGCAACGAGCGCAACCCCUAUCUUUAGUUGCCAGCACGUCAUGGUGGGGACUCUAAAGAGACUGCCUGCGCAAGCAGUGAGGAAGGUGGGGAUGACGUCAGGUCAUCAUGGCCCUUACGCCUAGGGCUACACACGUGCUACAAUGGGCAGUACAAAGGGUCGCUACCGGGUAACCGGAUGCCAACCUCAAAAAGCUGCUCUCAGUUCGGAUUGAGGUCUGCAACUCGACCUCAUGAAGCUGGAAUCGCUAGUAAUCGCGUAUCUGCAAUGACGCGGUGAAUACGUUCCCGGGC